CAGGCUUAACACAUGCAAGUCGAGGGGCAUCAGGAAGAAAGCUUGCUUUCUUUGCUGGCGACCGGCGCACGGGUGAGUAACACGUAUCCAACCUGCCCUUUACUCGGGGAUAGCCUUUCGAAAGAAAGAUUAAUACCCGAUGGCAUAAUGAUUCCGCAUGGUUUCAUUAUUAAAGGAUUCCGGUAAAGGAUGGGGAUGCGUUCCAUUAGGUUGUUGGUGAGGUAACGGCUCACCAAGCCUUCGAUGGAUAGGGGUUCUGAGAGGAAGGUCCCCCACAUUGGAACUGAGACACGGUCCAAACUCCUACGGGAGGCAGCAGUGAGGAAUAUUGGUCAAUGGGCGCUAGCCUGAACCAGCCAAGUAGCGUGAAGGAUGAAGGCUCUAUGGGUCGUAAACUUCUUUUAUAUAAGAAUAAAGUGCAGUAUGUAUACUGUUUUGUAUGUAUUAUAUGAAUAAGGAUCGGCUAACUCCGUGCCAGCAGCCGCGGUAAUACGGAGGAUCCGAGCGUUAUCCGGAUUUAUUGGGUUUAAAGGGAGCGUAGGUGGACUGGUAAGUCAGUUGUGAAAGUUUGCGGCUCAACCGUAAAAUUGCAGUUGAUACUGUCAGUCUUGAGUACAGUAGAGGGGGGCGGAAUUCGUGGUGUAGCGGUGAAAUGCUUAGAUAUCACGAAGAACUCCGAUUGCGAAGGCAGCUCACUGGACUGCAACUGACACUGAUGCUCGAAAGUGUGGGUAUCAAACAGGAUUAGAUACCCUGGUAGUCCACACAGUAAACGAUGAAUACUCGCUGUUUGCGAUAUACAGUAAGCGGCCAAGCGAAAGCAUUAAGUAUUCCACCCGGGGAGUACGCCGGCAACGGUGAAACUCAAAGGAAUUGACGGGGGCCCGCACAAGCGGAGGAACAUGUGGUUUAAUUCGAUGAUACGCGAGGAACCUUACCCGGGCUUAAAUUGCAGUGGAAUGAUGUGGAAACAUGUCAGUGAGCAAUCACCGCUGUGAAGGUGCUGCAUGGUUGUCGUCAGCUCGUGCCGUGAGGUGUCGGCUUAAGUGCCAUAACGAGCGCAACCCUUAUCUUUAGUUACUAACAGGUUAUGCUGAGGACUCUAGAGAGACUGCCGUCGUAAGAUGUGAGGAAGGUGGGGAUGACGUCAAAUCAGCACGGCCCUUACGUCCGGGGCUACACACGUGUUACAAUGGGGGGUACAGAAGGCAGCUAGCGGGUGACCGUAUGCUAAUCCCAAAAGCCUCUCUCAGUUCGGAUCGAAGUCUGCAACCCGACUUCGUGAAGCUGGAUUCGCUAGUAAUCGCGCAUCAGCCACGGCGCGGUGAAUACGUUCCCGGGCCUUGUACACACCGCCCGUCAAGCCAUGGGAGCCGGGGGUACCUGAAGUACGUAAACGCAAGGAUCGUCCUAGGGUAAAACUGGUGACUGGG
rnacentral:rRNA from 1 species